AUAGAAACUGCGACCUCAUCGCACUGAAACCUCAUUCCAGAAUGGCAUUCGUGGGCACGACCCAACCGAGUUUAUAAUUGUCUCUGUGAAGUUUAAUCAGGCUCUCACAGACUAUAAUCGAAGUAAACAGGGUCUAACAACAACCAAACUCAUGUGCCCUCGGCACAAUCUGAUGCAAAAACAGCAAAUUGGGUUCACCGUAAUCCUAAACGGCACCCGACAGAUCGGAACAGCCUAAACACUACUGUAAAAAUAAGCUCGGCAUCUCAGCACGAGCGUAAAUGCAUUCUACACUAUCCUGGGUAUCCACGGCUUACAAACUGCGGCGAUACAAACCAACUACGGUUCCUAAAGCUAAAACUGGUAGUUUUAACAUAUGACUAUGUAGAAACACUAGUUUUUUCUUAAGUCAAAUCCAAAUCCAAUAUGUAUAAUUUGACUAACAUUUAAGCUCCAAAUUCAGAUUCCAAUAAGCAUGCAAAUCCAUGAAUUGAGCUAUCUAACAUGAUAAACAAUAAUCAAUAUACAUGCCGACGACUACAACUUAGAAGGAAAUACAAUAAUUCCGGUAGCUUAACAUUCAACCCACCUCUAGUGCAAUUCCACGGCAGCGAGGAGUCGCCGGAAUCCCUGCCAAGCUCAGACAGAACCAGCAACAAGCCUCUCUAAGGAUUUAAACAAUAAAAUCCAUCAAUAAUCCAAAAUUCAGCACUAAAGCUCAAAUUUACAACAAUCUCAAUGUCGAUUUCACCUUCCGAUCUUCAAAUCAGGUGAGAAAAGGUCCCAAAACCAGUGAAUUAUGAUGGAGUAUCACUCUCUGGUUCAAAUCCAACUUCCUCCCAAGAUCUAAACACAACAAUAUCAAAAUUGCAUCAAUAACCCCAAAAUUCAGCACUUAAGCUAGAUUUCCCUCACUUUAAAUGUCAACUUACCUUCUAAUACUCAAAUUAGA
rnacentral:lncRNA from 1 species